AAAAAAAACUAACACCCGUAUUUAUAAAGAAGUAAAAGUAAGUACUUGAGUAAAAGUAAUUACUUAAGUAACGAUUUGUCUUCUAUAGUUAAGUAAUUGCUCAAAUUUAGAACUGUCAAAAGUUAGAAUUCUCAGCCAAGUAAUAGUCAUCAUUUCCUUUACUAAAGCACUACUUUGACGUUAUUUGAAUAAAAAAUUGGACACUUUGGAUAGUAUCGAAGCGGUUUUUGCUGUUGUAGACAAUAUAGAUGAUAAUAUAUUAGAGGAGAUAGAAGUUGCUGAACCUAGAAAUCCCAAAGUUUACUUUCGUGAUGUGGAUCCAUUUCAUGACUAUUCGGAAGAUUGUUUUAAAAAGAGAUUUCGUUUCACCAAAAGUGUUGUGAGACAUGUUAUUUUACCGAGAAUUGAAGACACUUUACAAUCAGAGACACAAAGAGGGCUUCCUUUAACUCCACUGUAUCAGUUGCUAACUGCUUUACGUUUUUAUGCCACUGGAAGCUUGCAGAUAGUAUGUAUGAUUGCAAAAGUAAACAUACUAUCUGCAAGCUUCCAGUAUAAUGUGUAGAUUCCAAAAAGUAUUUCAUAUCAUCUAAAAACCAUGGGGUUCUCUUUUUACAAGGUUUUUUCGAUGACGAUUUUAGUACAUAAAAAGCUUAACUUUUCUGAUUGCUGUUCAUUAGAAGUUGUGCAUAGGGUAAAAACUGAACACUCAGGUGUGUGUCUGUUAGCACUAUACAAGAGUGAAGGUUUAGAGCUGACCUGAUGAUGGAGAAAAGAGAAGGUCAAGGGAACUCGGCAAUGGUAAAUAUCAACUACCUCAUGUUUGGGCUUAUAUUAUUCGUAUUGAGGAGAACUUUUCACUAAUGCGAAUAGUGACUAAAAAGCUAAAAAAAAAAUACAUUUUUUUUUAUUAACCUUUGCCAGUUCAGAAUGUUACAUAUAAUAGGGAAAGCUCUUCAAGUAGGUAAGGUCGGUACUUAAUCGUAUCUGGAGUGGUUCAUGUCAAUAGUGCAAUGGGUGGGGGUCAAACUCAAGACCUUUUAAUAACCAGGCAAACUCUGUAACUGUGGUGAUAUUACUAUUGGCAUGUAUAAUGUUAAUAUACUUUAUUUUUUAUGGUCCUUUAAGUAAAUAAUCUCUAAAAUCAACAUAAAUUCAACAUAAUCUAUUUUCGACUAUUACUUAAGCAUUUGCUCAAGUAAGUAACGUGUGUUACUCAACUAUAGAAUGAGAUUUUGUAUUUAAGAAUUCUAACCAUAAGUAAUGACUUAAUUAAGAAAUUACUUAGCAACAAGUAAUUACUUCUUUAUAAAUACGGGUGUAUCUGCCACACUCAUAAUGGAUACUUAAAUUAAUCCUAACGAGUCCUUAACUAAUUAUCAUUAAAUCUGUUAAUGAACGAUACAUCCCAGAGACGAAAUUUAAGUUUUCAUUAGUUAAUGACAGCUUUAAGUAUCCGUAGGGCAGAGUAUCGUCAAAUUGUCUUUGAUAAUGCUUAUCGAUAAACGAAAGGUGUAGCCGCACCUUAAAAUGUGAAAUUAUUAAGUAGCAAAAACUGUUAUUAAAAUACAUUAAAACCUUGUGUAUCAACAAUAGAAAUAAGAAUUUGUUAAUUUCGGCAUCGUUUUUACGUAAAAACACCUAUUUUCAUGUAAAUGAUAUAAAGUACAUGGAAACUUUUUUCUGGUAUCACUGUCAAUAUUGUACUGUCAGUGUCAAGGUUACGUUUAAAAUUCUUGUUCCGUUAACCGUCAGGAAAGAAAAGUGUGAUAAGCUCUGAAAUAAAUAGCUUUAUCUUAACAUAUUAUCAUGGAGUCUUCAGGAACAAGAGCCCCACGCAAACGUGUGGCUAAUUUCACGGCGGACGAAAAAGCUUUGUUAGCACAAUUAGUUAAAAAGAGACCAAUCGUGGAAUCUUAAAUAACAGAUGGCAAGUCAGUCGCCAAGAAACAAGCAGCAUGGGAUAGUAUUACACAGGAGUUCAAUCAGGAAUCAAUCACCAACUUCCAGACUACGGGCUGCUUUGUGAAAGUUUAAGAAAACUCAAAAAGCGAUUUCGGCCCGACCUCCGACCGGCCGAGACCUCGACCACAGCAGCCGCGCUUGCGACCACUAGAUCAACGAGGAAGUCAAAUAAACUUUGUACCACAUAAUUGGCCUCUUGUUCAACAAUUAAAAAAGUAUUCCUCUUAUUUUAUGGAUUUUUAUUUAUUAAAAAUUAUAUUAUGAGAAAAAUCUAUCAACUAUAGAUUGUCGCACCAAAAAUCCAUUGCUGUUGGUUGUGCUUUCACGCCUUUCACUCGGGACAACAUCAUCAUUCUCAAUAUGAGGAGAUUCCCAGUUCUUUGGAACCAAAUCAUCAACCUGUAAAGAAAUAUUAUGCAAUGUCGCACAAGCACAUAUAACAGCCACAACUGUAUCCAUCUUAAUGCCCAUGCCAAGUUGGAGACAAGGAAACCUUCUUUUCCAAAUGCCAAAGCAUCUUUCCACAGUAUUCCACAUUAUAUUUUAUUUGGCUUCUGUUGUAGUUUUCUUGUGCAGUUGAAUUUGGUGAUAAAAACGGUGUCAGUAGCACAUUGCUAACUGCAUACCCGCUGUCCCCUAAAAUUAUCCCUUUUAACACACCAGUAUUCAGUCUUUGUUUACUUGCACGGCUGUUAUAAAUAAAACUAUCAUGGGUGCUGCCAGGCCACCGGGCUACUAGAUCAUAACAUUCCAAGUUUGUCCCAGUGACUGCUUGAACAUUGAUAGAAAAAUACCCUUUUAUAUUCCUAUAGACUUCUAAUGUUACUCCUCCUGGGCUUCUUAUUUGGCCCCACUACUCUAAACCUUCUGGUAUAGUCUACAAAAUCAAUAAAGUCAAGCAAAUCACUCAUCUUUACUUUAUUGUUAAAACAUUCCUAUUCCUGAGACUUUUUAAAAUAUUUUAUUUACUUUUAUAACCUUAAACAUAAAUGUCAAAAUCAAUCAUUAGAAAGUUAAGUAAAGGUUUUGCUUUACUUAACUUUAAUUGUCAUUAAGGGAUGCUAACGGAUCAUUAAUUGUCUCUGAGAGUGAGCUUUUUUAAAUCUAUACUAAGGAGCCACUUAAGUAACCAUUAACUGACUCUGAGUGUGGCAGUAAGUGUUUUUGACUCUUAUCGAUUUUGAGCAAUGAAAAAUUUCACAACUACCAGAUCUAGUUACGAAAUAGUACCAAAAUAUAUCCACAUUCAAACAAAUAUAUAUUUCAAUUCUCUUUCUAGGAUGACAAUAUCAACUGUGACAACAAAAGGGUUGAAAAAAACCUAAAUUAUUGACAGUAGUACCACGGGCAGUUUUUUCUUGCCCGUGGUACUACCAGACCGCUUGGUAGUACUACGGGAAGAAAAAUUUACCCGUGGUACUACUGGUAGUACUAUUGGUAGUACCACGGGCAACAAACGGUUUUAUCAUUAUCUUUUAGUAUAAAACUGCUUAUGGGUAUAUCGUAACUAAUUAUGACAUUGCGAGUAUUACCAGAAUAACACCGAAAUUCUUGAUAUUUUUCAAAUUGGAUUUUGUACAUUAGAGCGGUUUUAGACAAGCGUACCAUGUGCCAAUCGCUCAUACUAGAAUUGACUGAAAACUUACGCCAAAACGCCCAAUACCUAGGCUCGGAAAACACGCUAGUCUAAAAUCGCGCUUACUCAUUUUAGGAGGAUCACUGAUGCACUUGCAUAGUUGACAAUCAUUAACUAACCAGAUUUUGUGAAAGAUAACAAAUUGUUUUAACGAAAUUGGGAUUUAAGUCUCAACAAAUGAUAAAGUUAUACCUAAUCACAUAAAAAAUAUGCUCUGCACCCAUUUUAAGUAUGCUUAAAACUCAAAAAGCUGUCAUAUUAUUACUCUAUUAUAAAAUUAAAUUAUCUCUAAAUAUUAUCCAAGUUCUAAUUUGCACACAUUUUCUUAAAUAUUAA
rnacentral:lncRNA from 1 species